CAAGUCGAACGCGUUGGCCCAAUUGAUUGAUGGUGCUUGCACCUGAUUGAUUUUGGUCGCCAACGAGUGGCGGACGGGUGAGUAACACGUAGGUAACCUGCCCAGAAGCGGGGGACAACAUUUGGAAACAGAUGCUAAUACCGCAUAACAGCGUUGUUCGCAUGAACAACGCUUAAAAGAUGGCUUCUCGCUAUCACUUCUGGAUGGACCUGCGGUGCAUUAGCUUGUUGGUGGGGUAACGGCCUACCAAGGCGAUGAUGCAUAGCCGAGUUGAGAGACUGAUCGGCCACAAUGGGACUGAGACACGGCCCAUACUCCUACGGGAGGCAGCAGUAGGGAAUCUUCCACAAUGGGCGCAAGCCUGAUGGAGCAACACCGCGUGAGUGAAGAAGGGUUUCGGCUCGUAAAGCUCUGUUGUUAAAGAAGAACACGUAUGAGAGUAACUGUUCAUACGUUGACGGUAUUUAACCAGAAAGUCACGGCUAACUACGUGCCAGCAGCCGCGGUAAUACGUAGGUGGCAAGCGUUAUCCGGAUUUAUUGGGCGUAAAGAGAGUGCAGGCGGUUUUCUAAGUCUGAUGUGAAAGCCUUCGGCUUAACCGGAGAAGUGCAUCGGAAACUGGAUAACUUGAGUGCAGAAGAGGGUAGUGGAACUCCAUGUGUAGCGGUGGAAUGCGUAGAUAUAUGGAAGAACACCAGUGGCGAAGGCGGCUACCUGGUCUGCAACUGACGCUGAGACUCGAAAGCAUGGGUAGCGAACAGGAUUAGAUACCCUGGUAGUCCAUGCCGUAAACGAUGAGUGCUAGGUGUUGGAGGGUUUCCGCCCUUCAGUGCCGGAGCUAACGCAUUAAGCACUCCGCCUGGGGAGUACGACCGCAAGGUUGAAACUCAAAGGAAUUGACGGGGGCCCGCACAAGCGGUGGAGCAUGUGGUUUAAUUCGAAGCUACGCGAAGAACCUUACCAGGUCUUGACAUCUUGCGCCAACCCUAGAGAUAGGGCGUUUCCUUCGGGAACGCAAUGACAGGUGGUGCAUGGUCGUCGUCAGCUCGUGUCGUGAGAUGUUGGGUUAAGUCCCGCAACGAGCGCAACCCUUGUUACUAGUUGCCAGCAUUAAGUUGGGCACUCUAGUGAGACUGCCGGUGACAAACCGGAGGAAGGUGGGGACGACGUCAGAUCAUCAUGCCCCUUAUGACCUGGGCUACACACGUGCUACAAUGGACGGUACAACGAGUCGCGAACUCGCGAGGGCAAGCAAAUCUCUUAAAACCGUUCUCAGUUCGGACUGCAGGCUGCAACUCGCCUGCACGAAGUCGGAAUCGCUAGUAAUCGCGGAUCAGCAUGCCGCGGUGAAUACGUUCCCGGGCCUUGUACACACCGCCCGUCACACCAUGAGAGUUUGUAACACCCAAAGUCGGUGGGGUAACCUUUUAGGAGCCAGCCGCCUAA
rnacentral:rRNA from 1 species